rnacentral:Y_RNA from 1 species
GGCUGAUCCAAGUGCAGUGGUGUUUACAGCUAAUUGAUCAUAACUAGUUACAGAUUUCUUCCUUCUCCACUGCUGCUGCUUCAUUUGAGUAGCCAAGG